rnacentral:misc_RNA from 1 species
UUGCUGUCGUUCGCUUCACUUGCCGAGGUCUUCGUUCAACGCCGCAGCCGUGAAACGCUUGUGAUUUUCUUUACACAAGCCGGGAAGGUGGCUACGUGCGUGGUGGGAGGGCGUGGUGACUUUUCUUCAUCCGCAGUGGCUGUCACUGGAUUCCGUCGCGACUGCAAAACACAAACGGUUGUUUUCAGUGAGGACCAUGUAGAUGCAGCGAAUGCAGAGCUUUGGGCUACAAGUCUAUGGUGUGACCGUGUGAUGAACUGA